rnacentral:rRNA from 1 species
CCUGACUGCUAUCGGAUUGAUACUAAGCCAUGUGAGUCAUUGUAGCAAUACAAGGCAGACGGCUCAGUAACACGUAGUCAAUCUACCCUAUGGACGGGGAUAACCUCGGGAAACUGAGGAUAACACCCGAUAGAUCAUAAUUCCUGGAAUGGUUUAUGGUCCAAACGAUUCGUCGCCGUAGGAUGGGACUGCGGCCUAUCAGCUUGUUGGUGAGGUAAUGGCCCACCAAGGCUAUUACAGGUACGGGCUCUGAGAGGAGAAGCCCGGAGAUGGGUACUGAGACACGGACCCAGGCCCUAUGGGGCGCAGCAGGCGAGAAACCUUUGCAAUGUGCGCAAGCACGACAAGGUUAAUCCGAGUGUUUCCUGCUAAAGGAAUCUUUUGUUAGUUGUAAAACCACUAUCGAAUAAGGGGUGGGCAAGUUCUGGUGUCAGCCGCCGCGGUAAAACCAGCACCUCAAGUGGUCAGGAGGAUUAUUGGGCCUAAAGCAUCCGUAGCCUGUUCUAUAAGUUUCCGGUUAAAUCCACUAGCUCAACUAGUGGGCUGCCGAAAAUACUGUAGAACUAGGGAGUGGGAGAGGUAGACGGUAUUCGGUAGGAAGGGGUAAAAUCCUUUGAUCUAUUGAGGACCACCUGUGGCGAAGGCGGUCUACCAGAACACGUUCGACGGUGAGGGAUGAAAGCUGGGGGAGCAAACCGGAUUAGAUACCCGGGUAGUCCCAGCUGUAAACGAUGCAGACUCGGUGAUGCGCUGGCUUGUGGCCAGUGCAGUGCCGCAGGGAAGCCGUUAAGUUUGCCGCCUGGGAAGUACGUACGCAAGUAUGAAACUUAAAGGAAUUGGCGGGGGAGCACCACAAGGGGUGAAGCCUGCGGUUC